AGUGAACGCUGGCGGUAGGCCUAACACAUGCAAGUCGAACGGCAGCACAGUAAGAGCUUGCUCUUACGGGUGGCGAGUGGCGGACGGGUGAGGAAUACAUCGGAAUCUACUUUUUCGUGGGGGAUAACGUAGGGAAACUUACGCUAAUACCGCAUACGACCUACGGGUGAAAGUAGGGGAUCUUCGGACCUUGCGCGAUUGAAUGAGCCGAUGUCGGAUUAGCUAGUUGGCGGGGUAAAGGCCCACCAAGGCGACGAUCCGUAGCUGGUCUGAGAGGAUGAUCAGCCACACUGGAACUGAGACACGGUCCAGACUCCUACGGGAGGCAGCAGUGGGGAAUAUUGGACAAUGGGCGCAAGCCUGAUCCAGCCAUACCGCGUGGGUGAAGAAGGCCUUCGGGUUGUAAAGCCCUUUUGUUGGGAAAGAAAAGCAGCAGGUUAAGACCCCGCUGUUCUGACGGUACCCAAAGAAUAAGCACCGGCUAACUUCGU
rnacentral:rRNA from 1 species